CCUAGUGGUGUGCACCUGUAGCCCCAGUGACUUGGAAGGCUGAGGCAGGAGGAUCACUUGAAUUUAGGAGUUCAGGACAGGUGUCUACACUGAGUUCAACAUCAAUAUGAUGACCUGCCAGCAGUGGGGGACCACCAGGUUGCCUAAGGAGGGGUAAAGCAGUAUAGGUCAGAAACAGAGAAGGUCAAAACUCUAGUGUUGAUCAGUAGAGGCACCUGUGAAUAGCCACUGUGCUCCAGCCUGGGCAACAUGGCCUAGCUGUCUCUU
rnacentral:SRP_RNA from 1 species